CCCCCACGGCGUCUCGUCCCUCGUGUCGCGCACCAACUUCCAAUUCCUCCUCCCACCUCCGCCUUCGCCGUCGAGAUCUCGCGCGCCCGAGCUCCAGCUCGGCCUCGGCCCCGCGCCCGCCGCCAUGGCGACGCGGAACCGGACGCCUCUCUACCGCAAGUACCGCGACGCGCUGCGCCACGUCCGCUCGCCGGCCGGGGCGCCGUCGUCGUCCGGCGGGGGCGGGGGAGGCGGCGGCGGCGGGCCGGUGAUCGAGAUGGCCUCUCUGCUGCGCUCCGACCGCACCUACGCGCCCCUCAGCACGGACGACCCCUCCGCCUCCAGUAGAGGUGCCGUGACGGUCGGGCUGCCCCCAGCCUGGGUUGAUGUUUCCGAAGAAAUAUCUGCAAACAUGCAGCGGGCAAAGAUGAAAAUGGGGGAGUUGGCUAAGGCACAUGCCAAAGCCUUGAUGCCAUCAUUCGGCGAUGGCAGAGACGACCAGCGAGCAAUCGAGGUUCUUACACAUGAGAUAACGGACUUGCUGAAGAGGUCGGAGAAGAGGCUGCAGAAGCUGUCCAUGAAAGAUUCAUCAGAGGAUUCAAAUGUCCGAAAGAAUGUCCAGCGCUCUCUUGCUACAGACCUGCAAAACCUCUCAAUGGAGUUCCGUAAAAAACAGUCGACUUAUCUAAAGCAGCUUCGCCAACAAAAAGAGGGUCAGGAUGGUGUUGAUUUGGAAAUGAAUAUAAAUGGGACGAAGUCUACAUUUGAAGAUGAUGAGUUUGAGGACGUGAAAUACUUGUUGGGAUUCAGACUAUUAAAUGAUGAGAAGUCGAGCAGUUCUUUAUAUUUAAGUUGCUGGUUUUAUACCAGGGUUUCUCUGAGGUUCAGAUGUCAAAACUCAAGAAAAGUGAAGCGUUCACCAGAGAAAGGGAGAGAGAAAUCGAACAGGUUGUCGAAUCAGUCAAUGAGCUUGCACAGAUCAUGAAGGAUCUUUCAGUUCUCGUGAUUGAUCAGGGAACUAUCAUUGAUCGGAUAGACUACAAUAUACAGAACGUUGCAGCUUCUGUUGAGGAGGGUUACAAACAAUUGCAAAAGGCUGAGAGGACACAGAAGAAAGGGGGCAUGGUGAUGUGUGCCACUGUCCUUGUCAUUCUGAUCUUCAUCAUGAUCGUCCUUCUGAUUUUGAAGAAGAUCAUUUUCUGACAGACAUAGCUAUCUCUUUUUUAUGGUUGAUGGACGGCAUCCCGCAUCCAUGCUCAUCUACUCAUUCGAGAGGAUUACACAGUGCCCUGCAUAUUGGAAACGCCGCAGUUCGUUUGAAUAGCGCGAUACGACUUACUGAUCUGGAGAUGGUUCUUCUGCCCAUAUCCAUAAUGGCUGGGCCAGCAACUGUCCUCAGUCCUCGCCACAAUUUUUUGCAGUGCUGCAGAUGUAGAGAUGUCAUUUUCAUACAUGCCUCAUUUUUUGGGAGAAAAAAUGUGAAGAGUUGUGUUUGACACAUUUCGCCUUCCUGAUUGUCUUGGAGCAACCAGGUUAGGUUUGUGUACGCCUCUGUAUAGAGUGAGUUGUAUCAUCCAGUUCUCUUAAAUCAAAAUGUAGCUUUAGUUCCUGUCCACCACUGUUCAAUUUCCUGCAUUAUUUUUCUGGUCGUCCUUCUCUAGAGUUCCUUCUGCCAUCCAUUCUGAGCUAGUGUCAUUUUAUUGUACCAGGGAAUCCUAAUUUUUUUUGCGACAUUUUUUCUUCCUUUUGUUUUAUGCUGUAUCGACGUGUAAUCGUGUUCCUUGGCCUGCUAACAUGUAGUACCUGACAAACCA